GACGAACGCUGGCGGCGUGCUUAACACAUGCAAGUCGAGCGGAAAGGCCCUUUCGGGGGUACUCGAGCGGCGAACGGGUGAGUAACACGUGAGUAAUCUGCCCUGGACUCUGGGAUAGCCACCGGAAACGGUGAUUAAUAACGGAUACAACCACUAUCCGCAUGGGUUGGUGGUGGAAAGUUUUUUCGGUCCAGGAUGUGCUCGCGGCCUAUCAGCUUGUUGGUGAGGUAAUGGCUCACCAAGGCUUUGACGGGUAGCCGGCCUGAGAGGGUGACCGGUCACACUGGGACUGAGACACGGCCCAGACUCCUACGGGAGGCAGCAGUGGGGAAUAUUGGACAAUGGGCGGAAGCCUGAUCCAGCAACGCCGCGUGAGGGAUGACGGCCUUCGGGUUGUAAACCUCUUUCAGUACCGACGAAGCGCAAGUGACGGUAGGUACAGAAGAAGGACCGGCCAACUACGUGCCAGCAGCCGCCGUAAGAC
rnacentral:rRNA from 1 species